ensembl:snoRNA SNORD26 Small nucleolar RNA SNORD26
CUGCACUGAUGAUAAAAUGAACUCUCUCUUACUGAGUUUACAGUGGAGACAGACCUUAUAAUCUGAGUAGC